rnacentral:misc_RNA from 1 species
UCUCCGUUGGUGAACCAGCGGAGGGAUCAUUACCGAGUUAUACAACUCCCAAACCCAUGUGAACUUACCUGUCGUUGCUUCGGCGGACCGCCCCGGGGCCCAUCGGCCGCGGAUCCACGGCGCCCGCCGGGGGCUCGAAAGCCUCUUGUUUUUUUCUACGCAGACUUCUGAGUGGCAUUUAUUACAAAUAAAUCAAAACUUUCAACAACGGAUCUCUUGGUUCUG